rnacentral:rRNA from 1 species
GAUGAACGCUGGCGGCGUGCCUAAUACAUGCAAGUCGAGCGAACAGACGAGGAGCUUGCUCCUCUGACGUUAGCGGCGGACGGGUGAGUAACACGUGGAUAACCUACCUAUAAGACUGGGAUAACUUCGGGAAACCGGAGCUAAUACCGGAUAAUAUAUUGAACCGCAUGGUUCAAUAGUGAAAGACGGUUUUGCUGUCACUUAUAGAUGGAUCCGCGCCGCAUUAGCUAGUUGGUAAGGUAACGGCUUACCAAGGCAACGAUGCGUAGCCGACCUGAGAGGGUGAUCGGCCACACUGGAAGUGAGACACGGUCCAGACUCCUACGGGAGGCAGCAGUCGGGAAUCUUCCGCAAUGGGCGAAAGCCUGACGGAGCAACGCCGCGUGAGUGAUGAAGGUCUUCGGAUCGUAAAACUCUGUUAUUAGGGAAGAACAAAUGUGUAAGUAACUAUGCACGUCUUGACGGUACCUAAUCAGAAAGCCACGGCUAACUACGUG